AUGCCGCGUGUGUGAAGAAGGCCUUCGGGUUGUAAAGCACUUUCAGUCGUGAGGAAGGCGGGUACGUUAAUAGCGUAUUCGUUUGACGUCAGCGACAGAAGAAGCACCGGCUAACUCCGUGCCAGCAGCCGCGGUAAUACGGAGGGUGCGAGCGUUAAUCGGAAUUACUGGGCGUAAAGCGCAUGCAGGUGGUUCGUUAAGUCAGAUGUGAAAGCCCGGGGCUCAACCUCGGAAUAGCAUUUGAAACUGGCGGACUAGAGUACUGUAGAGGGGGGUAGAAUUUCAGGUGUAGCGGUGAAAUGCGUAGAGAUCUGAAGGAAUACCGGUGGCGAAGGCGGCCCCCUGGACAGAUACUGACACUCAGAUGCGAAAGCGUGGGGAGCAAACAGGAUUAGAUACCCUGGUAGUCCACGCCGUAAACGAUGUCUACUUGGAGGUUGUGGCCUUGAG
rnacentral:rRNA from 1 species